rnacentral:rRNA from 1 species
ACGCUGGCGGCGUGCCUAACACAUGCAAGUCAACUUGACGGAAGGAGCAAUCUGACCGUAGAGUGGCGCAAGGGUGCGUAACGCGUAAGUAACUUGCCCAAGGUAAGGAAUAACGUCGAGAAAUCGGCGCUAAUACCUCAUAAUGCAGCGGAUCCGCAUGGAUAUGUUGUUAAAGGUUUACCGCCUUGGGAUAGGCUUGCGUCUGAUUAGCUAGUUGGUGUGGUAACGGCACACCAAGGCUACGAUCAGUAACUGGUCUGAGAGGAUGAUCAGUCACACUGGAACUGAGACACGGUCCAGACUCCUACGGGAGGCAGCAGUGAGGAAUAUUGGGCAAUGCUCGAAAGAGUGACCCAGCAACGCCGCGUGGAGGAUGAAGGUAUUCUAUAUCGUAAACUCCUGUGAGAGCAGACGAAAGACAGAUUAUUAAUCUGGAUGACUGUAUGCUCAGAGGAAGCCCCGGCUAACUACGUG